AAUACAUAAGGCAGAGUGUAGCCACCUUCCCACCCUACUAGGGUGCUGCAGCAUGAGAGGUCAUAUACACUCCUGGCGGGGUCAUGAAGAGACCUGCCCGCUUGCCCCUCGUCAUUGGUGCAACAAUACUGGUGGGUAGAGAGAGGGAGGGAGCACUCAGCCUCACACUGGCGAGACAUGUUAUUGUAGAGGGGGUGACGGCAUCACACACCCUAUAACCUGCCAACUAUGUUGCCUCAACACCCGUGUUGGGAAGGAACAACAUACUGACGCAAGUAAGCCUGAUCCCUGCUAGCCCACGAAGCCUUCAAGCAAGAGCAGACUUUGUACUUACUUCUGAGAGGAAGGUCUGUGCGGCUUUCUGGGCACCAACAUGGAGCAAGUAUUCGUACACAUACAACGCCAAUCUAGAAGAUAUGAGAAAAGUUAUAAACAACAGUGGAAACCGUGGGAGAUCUUCAGCAGUUUUAGAAAAUACAGAACACUGAACUUAGAGGAGUUACAUGGCGACCAUGUGUAGUGCCCCCCCACCUCCUCCAUAUUUACCUACGAGCGCCCCCACACAAAUAAAUCUACAAGGGAGUCUGAGGAGCAUCAAGUUGUGUGUUGUGAGUGGGAGCAGCAGUAGCUGCUUGACACACCAAGUGGGACCUAACAAUGUUCCCUACACUUGUCUGAGGAUACCAGCGUCGCUACCGAACAUCCAACAUCUACCAAACAUCCUUCACCUUAACAUAGGUGGGCUGUUUACCAGAAUAACCCACUGGAAAUAUGUAACAUUAUUUGAUAUUACUGGUGCAUGAUUAUGUAACAUCUGUGUACCAUUAAAAACCAUUGUGAAAACAGUUAACUUGCUUAUAAAUCAAUUUGUAGAUUGUCCUAAAGAAAAACUUAGUA